rnacentral:tRNA from 1 species
GCCUUCGUGGUGUAGUGGUUCUGCACGCUUGGCCGUUAUUCCAGAGGUCCGGGGUUCGAUUCCCGGCGAAGGCG